rnacentral:rRNA from 1 species
AUUGAACGCUGGCGGCAGGCCUAACACAUGCAAGUCGAGCGGAUGAAGGGAGCUUGCUCCUGGAUUCAGCGGCGGACGGGUGAGUAAUGCCUAGGAAUCUGCCUGGUAGUGGGGAUAACGUCCGGAAACGGGCGCUAAUACCGCAUACGUCCUGAGGGAGAAAGGGGGGGAUCUUCGGACCUCACGCUAUCAGAUGAGCCUAGGUCGGAUUAGCUAGUUGGUGGGGUAAAGGCCUACCAAGGCGACGAUCCGUAACUGGUCUGAGAGGAUGAUCAGUCACACUGGAACUGAGACACGGUCCAGACUCCUACGGGAGGCAGCAGUGGGGAAUAUUGGACAAUGGGCGAAAGCCUGAUCCAGCCAUGCCACGUGUGUGAAGAAGGUCUUCGGAUUGUAAAGCACUUUAAGUUGGGAGGAAGGGCAGUAAGUUAAUACCUUGCUGUUUUGACGUUACCAACAGAAUAAGCACCGGCUAACUUCGUG